GCAAGUCGAGCGGAAACGAGAAGUAGCUUGCUACUUCGGCGUCGAGCGGCGGACGGGUGAGUAAUGCCUAGGAAAUUGCCUUGAGGUGGGGGACAACAGUUGGAAACGACUGCUAAUACCGCAUAACGUCUACGGACCAAAGGGGGCUUCGGCUCUCGCCUUUAGAUUGGCCCAAGUGGGAUUAGCUAGUUGGUGAGGUAAUGGCUCACCAAGGCAACGAUCCCUAGCUGGUUUGAGAGGAUGAUC
rnacentral:rRNA from 1 species